UACGGAGGGUGCGAGCGUUGUCCGGAAUCACUGGGCGUAAAGGGCGCGUAGGCGGCGCGGAAAGUCAACGGUGAAAGCCCGGAGCUCAACUCCGGGUCUGCCGCGGAUACUGCGAGGCUUGAGUGCUGUAGAGGGGGGGUAGAAUGCCGGGUGUAGCGGUGGAAUGCGUAGAGAUCCGGCAGAAGACCGGUGGCGAAGGCGGCCCCCCUGGGCAGUAACUGACACUGAGGCGCGACACGUGGGGGAGCAAACAGG
rnacentral:rRNA from 1 species